CAAAACGGCCAUAUCACUUUGAAAACACGGGUUCUCGUCCCAUCACUAAUGUUAAGCAAUGUCGAGCCUAGUUAGUACUUAGAUGAGUGACCGCUUGGGAAACCUAGAUGUUAUAAACA
rnacentral:rRNA from 1 species